UUUGUUAAACUACUUAAUACAUGUUCCUAUUCUGGAUAGGGGUAAAGUCCAUAAAAGUAGAGAAUGACAAGAAUUUGGUGAAUAUCGCGUCAACUGAAUGGCUGUUUGCCUCAUUCCUAUUCUGAUUGGUUCAAUAAAAUGACUACUUUCUAUUAGGUAAUUACUACCAUCCAAAAUCUGAAUUUUUGUUUCAGCCAAUGGAAUGGAAGCAUGUGUUUGCAGAGGAAGACAUUGAACAUGAGGCAAAUAACAUGGUCUAGGAAAGUGCACACAAAGUGUUUGAAGAAAUGACCGAUAGAGAACCAAAGUAUGAGCACUACAAAAUCUUUCUUUAUGCUCUUUAUUAUAAGGAAAAGGCCAUUCCUCAAUGAUAUCAGAACCGGCUUGGAACCGAUAAUCGUAAUCCGGUCCGACUUUUGUGAUGCUGAAAUUGGCAUUCUACCUAUAAUUCCUAAUAAUGGUAACAUACUUUUUUUGUUUUCUUUCUUACUAUAAAUGGAAGUACGCUGUUAUUUUUGCAUUUACCCUUAGACGUCAUCUCAUGUUUUUGCGGUUCAU